AUGUGAAAUUUCUGGAGAUCUUGUUAAAAAUGCAGAUUCAGAAGAUAUGAGGUGGAACCUGGGAGUCUGCAUUUAUAAUAAGUUCCCAGGUGAUAUUAUC
rnacentral:miRNA from 1 species